rnacentral:tRNA from 1 species
GGUGAGGUGGCCGAGUGGUUUAAGGCAGCACACUUGAAAUGUGCCGUACGGGAAACCGUACCGUGAGUUCGAAUCUCACCCUCACCG